rnacentral:rRNA from 1 species
UACGGAGGGUGCGAACGUUAAUCGGAAUCACUGGGCGUAAAGCGCGCGUAGGCGGUUUGUUAAGUGGGAUGUGAAAUCCCCGGGCUUAACCUGGGAAUUGCAUUUCAAACUGGCCGACUAGAGUACGGUAGAGGGAGGUAGAAUUUCCUGUGUAGCGGUGAAAUGCGUAGAUAUAGGAAGGAAUACCAGUGGCGAAGGCGGCCUCCUGGAUCGAUACUGACGCUGAGGCGCGAAAGCGUGGGGAGCAAACAGGAUUGAGAAACC